AAGUAAAGUAUGCAUCAACCAUUCGACUUAUAAUUACUACACUAGGACAAACGCUUUAAAAAUUAUGAUACAGGGUUUCACCGAAAAGUAUUAUCGACAAAAUAAUGAUAAAUUUCUGUGAGAAAUAUGGACGACUUUCCAACUCUGAAUCGGGAAAGCUUCCGGAUAGUGAAAUUACUUUGAAGGAGAACAGUGUUCCAGAUCCAGCUAUCCUUCUGUUCAUGUUCACUGGAUUAACGCAAGUGAUGUUUCAAUAAGUAUUACAGAUAUAAUCGUUCAGUCUGUUUUCAGUGUUUUAACAUCACUGUUAAGUGUAUGCUGCAUUUUUACAGUAUUGUACAGUUGCUUGUGUUUUGAAUUUGAUUUUGAUUCUCUUCCUCUGCCAGUGUUUUUAACAGUCGCUGUAAGCGCAAUGCUCUUCCUGGAGUGUGCCUAUUCUUUAUAAGGUCGCGGAAAAUUGCGUGAAUAAUAUGUGGUUUGAAAAAUAUGAACAAAAUGGGCAAUUUCAUCCAUCCUUUAUUGAUGUCAAAAAUUGUGAUUCCAAUCAAAAGUGAUAAUGUAACCUGUAUAACAAAUGUAUCAUUGUUACAGAUUAAAAAACACAAAAAAACUACUUAGAUGUAACUGGGUGUGUUAAAGAAAUAACAUAAUUAUACAGAUGUUACAAAUAUUUUUGUCUAUUAAAAAUAGAAUAUUAAUAUUUAAAUACAGUAAAUACAAGAAAUAUUUAUAUUUUUUAUAAAUAUAUUAGGUAUGUCAUAUAUUAUUAUACAGUCUGCCUAUAAAUGAAUGUAGGAUCGUAGUAGGUAUUAAAAGUUUGCCGCUUCUUUCCAGAAAAAAAAGAACAAUGUUAGUUUAUAAAAAUAAUUGGUUUUACUGGUUGCCUAAGUUGAUAAAAAUUGGUGUUACUUUUCCGAAAUUUCAUAGAAAUAAAAUUAAAUACGACAAAUUCAAAUUCCAGAACCUCCUGAGAUCCUACACUCUUUUAUAAACAGUCUGUAUAAUUAUUGUGUAUAUUUAUAUUUCUAAUACUUCAUAUAAGACAAUUUAGUAUGGAGAAUUACACUUAAUUAACACCGACUUUACAAAAAUAAGUAAAUAAAUUAUAGUUUUUAUAGUUUUGAAACAGCUAAUAGAUAUUAAUAAUCUACUCUUAUUUGUAAAAUCUUUAUGUAUUUGUACCCAGACGAAAUAUAUAUUUA